rnacentral:rRNA from 1 species
UAGUCGGAGGUGUGUCUCGGACGGUCGGUUCGCCGCUUGUCGGUGCUCAACUGGCCGGUCCGGACGUCCUGCCGGUGGGGCUGUAAAAGGCUUCGUUAUCCUUCUUUGGUCCUCUUCAUUGAGUGCCUUGGUGGGCCGGCACGUUUACUUUGAACAAAUUAGAGUGCUCAAAGCAGGCCGUUGGUCGCCUGAAUACUGUGUGCAUGGAAUAAUGGAAUAGGACCUCGGUUCCAUUUUGUUGGUUUUCAGAACUCGAGGUAAUGAUUAAUAGGGACGGACGGGGGCAUUCGUAUUGCGACGUUAGAGGUGAAAUUCUUGGAUCGUCGCAAGACGAACCGAUGCGAAAGCAUUUGCCAAGAACGUUUUCGUUGAUCAAGAACGAAAGUUAGAGGUUCGAAGGCGAUCAGAUACCGCCCUAGUUCUAACCAUAAACGAUGCCAGCUAGCCAUCCGCCGAAGUUCCUUAUAUGACUCGGCGGGCAGCUUCCGGGAAACCAAAGCUCUUGGGUUCCGGGGGAAGUAU